UUGGUCAUAAGUUGGCCACCGCACCAAUAUGUGACCAUUUAGGCACAAACUUGAAUGUGGAUGGUCACAAAUUAAACAUUUUCAAAACAUUAUGGCCACAACGUGACAUUUUGAUGGCCACGGUUUUGCAUGUCACGGUAGUGGCUAAAUUGUAAUAUUCUUGUAGCGAGUAGAACUAAAAGAUUAUAAUUUAGGCAGAUGAAUGAAGCGGACAUGGCAUGAUGCCUCUGGUUGUCAUUUUGCUU